rnacentral:rRNA from 1 species
AGUGAACGCUGGCGGUAGGCCUAACACAUGCAAGUCGAACGGCAGCACAGUAAGAGCUUGCUCUUACGGGUGGCGAGUGGCGGACGGGUGAGGAAUACAUCGGAAUCUACUUUUUCGUGGGGGAUAACGUAGGGAAACUUACGCUAAUACCGCAUACGACCUACGGGUGAAAGCAUGGGAUCUUCUGACCUUGCGCGAUUGAAUUAGCCGAUGUCGGAUUAGCUAGUUGGCGGGGUAAAGGCCCACCAAGGCGACGAUCCGUAGCUGGUCUGAGAGGAUGGUCAGCCACCCUGGAACUGAGACACGGUCCAGACUCCUACGGGAGGCAGCAGUGGGGAACAUGGGACAAUGGGCGCAAGCCUUAUCCAGCCAUCCCGAGUGGGUGAAGAAGGCCUUCGGGUUGUAAAGCCCUUCUGUUGGGAAAGAAAAGCAGCAGGUUAAUACCCCGCUGUUCUGACGGUACCCAAAGAAUAAGCACCGGCUAACUUCGUG